rnacentral:rRNA from 1 species
ACUCCUACGGGAGGCAGCAGUGGGGAAUAUUGGACAAUGGGCGCAAGCCUGAUCCAGCCAUGCCGCGUGAGUGAUGAAGGCCCUAGGGUUGUAAAGCUCUUUCACCGGUGAAGAUAAUGACGGUAACCGGAGAAGAAGCCCCGGCUAACUUCGUGCCAGCAGCCGCGGUAAUACGAAGGGGGCUAGCGUUGUUCGGAUUUACUGGGCGUAAGGCGCACGUAGGCGGACUAUUAAGUCAGGGGUGAAAUCCCGGGGCUCAACCCCGGAACUGCCUUUGAUACUGGUAGUCUUGAGUUCGAGAGAGGUGAGUGGAAUUCCGAGUGUAGAGGUGAAAUUCGUAGAUAUUCGGAGGAACACCAGUGGCGAAGGCGGCUCACUGGCUCGAUACUGACGCUGAGGUGCGAAAGCGUGGGGAGCAAACAGGAUUAGAAACCCCAGUAGUCCCAUGAU